AGGACGAACGCUGGCGGCGUGCUUAACACAUGCAAGUCAAGGGGGCCCGCAAGGGCAACCGGCGAACGGGUGCGUAACACGUGAGCAACCUGCCCAUCUGUGGGGGAUAGCCGGUCCAACGACCGGGUAAUGCCGCAUACGUUCACCUGGGGGCAUCCCCGGGUGAGGAAAGCCUUCGGGCGCAGGUGGAGGGGCUCGCGGCCUAUCAGCUAGUUGGUGGGGUAACGGCCUACCAAGGCAUCGACGGGUAGC
rnacentral:rRNA from 1 species